UGGGGAAUAUUGCACAAUGGGCGCAAGACUGAUGCAGCCAUGCCGCGUGUAUGAAGAAGGCCUUCGGGUUGUAAAGUACUUUCAGCGGGGAGGAAGGGAGUAAAGUUAAUACCUUUGCUCAAUGACGUUACCCGCAGAAGAAGCACCGGCUAACUCCGUGCCAGCAGCCGCGGUAAUACGGAGGGUGCAAGCGUUAAUCGGAAUUACUGGGCGUAAAGCGCAAGCAGGCGGUCUGUCAAGUCGGAUGUGAAAUCCCCGGGCUCAACCUGGGAACUGCAUUCGAAACUGGCAGGCUAGAGUCUUGUAGAGGGGGGUAGAAUUCCAGGUGUAGCGGUGAAAUGCGUAGAGAUCUGGAGGAAUACCGGUGGCGAAGGCGGCCCCCUGGACAAAGACUGACGCUCAGGUGCGAAAGCGUGGGGAGCAAACAGG
rnacentral:rRNA from 1 species